CGGUGUGGCAUGGGAGUCUCUGGGUUCUUGGCUACUCUGUGCUGGCAGCGUCUGCGCCGGUGUUUGCCCGUCGCGCGAGUGAGGUGUGUGGGGCAAGCCAUGUUACUCCCUGCAACUGCACUUGUCGGACCUUGGAACAUGCCUCCUGGUGUGGUCCACGAAUAGGUGGUCUGCAUGAGGGCCUCUAGCCAUUCCCAGAGUGCGCUGAAGAUGCGGUUAUAGCGGCGCUCAGUUUCCCUCCUGAUGUCGCUCUGGGCUGCAGUGAGUGAGCCUUCCGCCAUGUUGUAGGCCUUGUUAGCAGCCUCCAGGCUGCUGAGCCGUAUCACUCUAGUGUAGCUUGGCUGGGGGG